rnacentral:rRNA from 1 species
GAUGAACGCUGGCGGCGUGCCUAAUACAUGCAAGUCGAGCGAACAGACGAGGAGCUUGCUCCUCUGACGUUAGCGGCGGACGGGUGAGUAACACGUGGAUAACCUACCUAUAAGACUGGGAUAACUUCGGGAAACCGGAGCUAAUACCGGAUAAUAUAUUGAACCGCAUGGUUCAAUAGUGAAAGACGGUUUUGCUGUCACUUAUAGAUGGAUCCGCGCCGCAUUAGCUAGUUGGUAAGGUAACGGCUUACCAAGGCGACGAUGCGUAGCCGACCUGAGAGGGUGAUCGGCCACACUGGAAGUGAGACAAGGUCCAGAAUACUACGGGAGGCAGCAGUAGGGAAUAUUACGCCAUGGUCGAAAGCCUGACGGAGCAGCGCCGCGUGAGGGAUGAAGGUCUUCGGAUCGUAAAACUCUGUUAUUAGGGAAGAACAAAUGUGUACGUAACUAUGCGCGUCUUGACGGUAGCUAAUCAGAAAGCGACGGCUAACUACGUG